GAUGAACGCUGGCGGCGUGCCUAACACAUGCAAGUCGAGCGCGAUUAAGUGGAGUGAGAACUUCGGUUCAAGUGAAACUUAUGAAAGCGGCGGACGGGUGAGUAACGCGUGGGUAACCUGCCCCAUACAAAGGGAUAGCCACUGGAAACGGUGAUUAAUACCUUAUAAGUCGGUAGUCUCGCAUGAGACAGCCGACAAAGAUUUAUCGGUAUGGGAUGGACCCGCGUCUGAUUAGCUAGUUGGUGAGGUAACGGCUCACCAAGGCGACGAUCAGUAGCCGACCUGAGAGGGUGAUCGGCCACACUGGAACUGAGACACGGUCCAGACUCCUACGGGAGGCAGCAGUGGGGAAUAUUGCACAAUGGGCGCAAGCCUGAUGCAGCAACGCCGCGUGAGUGAUGAAGGCUUUCGGGUCGUAAAACUCUGUCCUAUGGGAAGAAAAAAUAGACGGUACCAUAGGAGGAAGCCCCGGCUAACUACGUGCCAGCAGCCGCGGUAA
rnacentral:rRNA from 1 species